ensembl:lncRNA
UUUAUGCAAUGUUUUGUGCAAUGUUGUGCCAGUCAGAUGUCAAGGUUUCAGGACGGACACAACCAUGGACCUUGGGCCAGGAUUGUGUGAAAAGAAAAGGGAGGAAAUGAAGGGAACCAAAGUGACUCCAUGAUGGAUUAUGUAUGUGUAAACAGGACUGUGGCGGGGGUGGUGAGCAAGUGCCAACUCAUGAUCAGGAGAUUGUAAGAAUGUGAUGGACAGAAGGGAGGGGCCAAGAGAAUGUGUGGUACAAGGGGUGAUGGUAUUACUGUUUAAGGGUAUAAAAAGGGGGAUUACUUGUUUGUAAGCCCAGCACUUUCGAAAGAGACUGUCCGCCUGUUAACUUUGCUCAGCUGAUUAAAGAAAUGUUUCCUAGAUCACCGGACUCAAUCUCUUAUUGGCCUUUAGGGAUUGGUUGGUUAAAGACAGGUCUGAGGAAUAGGCUCUACACUAUAAUCCACGUUUUAUUAAUCAGCAGGGCGGGGCUUGGAACCGAUAAAAUAACACCUUAGUAAGGAAGCACUCAAUUUCUAGCUGCUUAACCAUGCUUUGAUAGCGUGCUACAGGCCUGCACCGACUUAAGUCAGUUCAGUGGUAUUUCUUUACAGUGAACUAAUAGGGGAUCGAUCUGUACAUCAUGCAAAGGGGGAACUCUCGCAACUCAACAUUUGGGUGCUGGUUUUUAAGUCCUUAUGACAGAAACUGGCUUUUCUCGCAUUCACAUGCACUUUUCUUGUUAUUUUACUGUAAUCCUGUUUAUAACUGUCCUUCACCCACUUGGCCACGUAUCCAUCGUAAAUACAACCAUAAGGAAUCUUGAAAGUGCUCCUCGCUUGAGUCUUCGAACCUACCUCACGUCCUUUUAACGACGUAAAACAGACGCUUUAGAAACAUUUCAACAUAACGCUUUUCUCAUAAAUUAUCUGAGGGACAGCGGACCGUUGUCAUCAGUAAAAAAAAGAUCCGAGACAGUUAACGGAACAUUCCCGCGUCCCCAACUCCAGGCCCCGCCCACUGGCCGUUGGAGCAUUCCGCUCCCAUUCUCUUCUUGCUCGGGACCCGCGGAAGUCACACGACCACUUCUACACUCUCUCUCUCCACGCGUGAGACAGUAACCCCGUUAGCCUCCCUUUUCCGGCUAGAAAACGGGUCCACCGCCCCAGCCCGCUUCGGGGCCACCCACGUUCGAUGUGGCAGGGAGGGGGAGGGAAAGAUCCCGAGCGGCUCGCUGGUUGGUCGAGAAAGAUUCGGAGGAGGGGGGCGGAGCUCGAGCCCGUUCUCCGAGAUACCACGGCCCGCGGCAGAGGCGCCCUGCCCUCUGUGGGCGUGUCCCAAGGAAGAGGGCGUGGCCGAGAGUCCUGAACAGGAGGAGGGGGCUUUGUUGUGGCGCCGGGAGAGAUUCAUCUUGGGAUCUGGGAUGUCUUACAACAGAUUAGAAUGGAACUGCGUGUAAUUUAGGCACUAUAUACAGGUAAUUCUUUAAUGUUAGAUUUAUAAAUUGCAAACCAGCUGGGCCAGAGUUAAAAUCUCGGAGUUUUGCUGGUUUCAUUUAUGAGCAAACCAGCAAAAUCACUCUGAUUGAAUUCAAUGAGGUUUCAUUCUGAAGUAACUUCCAUAAGAAUGGUUGUGACUUUCACUGAAAUAGUUGGAAUUUCAAAGAUUUUAACUUUGGCUUAAUCUAUGUCCUGUAGCCUUUUGUAAACCAAAGGGAAUCUUCAAACUGGUGAUGAUAGAAAAAUUCAGGUGCAGAAUAUUAUUUUGUGUCAUACUGUAAUUACUUUGGGUUGAUCACAGUCAGACUGUGCCACAGGAUAUGCUGAAGUUCUGUGAUGUAUUUAGCUUCUCCCUUAGCUAGCAGGAGUGACUGAGUAAUGUGUAGCAGGUUGUUCUGUCAUAACAAAGCAGGUUUCCCACAGACUCCUGGCAUAGGAGUAAACAUAUUAAUUAUAUGGUUCUCACAAUAAAUAGAAAACUAAGCCCA